UAGCAAGAUGGUAUUUCUGGAGCAAUAAGUCAUUUACUGAAUGAUUAUGCAAAGCAUAAAUUGCAUUGUAGUCCUAGAAUAAUACAAAGCUUCCCUUUAGUUGUUGCCGUAAAUUAAUAACUGGCAUUUUAAUGCACUAAAUGAAUUUUAGUAGUUAGAUUUAUAUCUUUGACUUCUAGGAAUUUCAACUACAUUAGAGUUCAUAUACACAAAAGGGGCAAGCCCUUUUCCACAGCAUUUCCAGCUUCUCCACAGAAACCUAGCCCCACAUGAGCAAAAGAUCACACUCUGUGCUUCAUCAAAGAGAUUACACAAUUACAGAUUCCAGCAUCUCCCAGGAGUCCUUUGAAUUUGGAUUAAGGUCUAUAAUUACGUGGGUAAGGGAAUAACUAGGUAAUUGGCUUUCUGCACCUGGAAUGUAUUCUCCUGGGUAUAAGAGGCUCCUUUUAAUCAGAAGUAUAUGGGAUGAAAGUGAACCCUGUCUCUUAAGGGGAGACUCCUUAAGAGGAGGAUUGGGGCCCUGUGUUUUAAUAGAUCUUCUCCACAAUCUUUAAUACCUAAGCUCCUUCCCCUUGUCCACUAAUUUGCUGUAGAAUUUUUCUAGCAUGUUUAUGAUGGUGUUCAGGGCACACUACCCCAAAAUAUAACACCUUGGCAUAUUGAAUGUUUUAAGCUGAUGGAAUUUGAGAAAUGGCAGGUGUGAGGACUCUGACCUUCCCAUGAAGCAGGUCAUAAGACCCUCAUGUGAGAGAUGCCCUCUCUAUACCUGGAGAAAAGAAGCAGUCUUAUUUGUGAAGACAGAGAGACGCCAAGAGGAAUCUAAAUGAAUAGGCCUUGGAACCCCAGACGCACGGGCCUUGUGCUGUCGCUGCCGUGGCACCCCUUCUAGAAGGUAGAUAUUUUUCCUCCUGACAAACACUACAACCUUUAUGAAAAUAUUUCACUCUUUUGCUUUAAUUUCCAUUACUACUAUAAGUGAAAAAAGGAUGAAGAAUUGAAUGAAUAGGAUUGAACCAUCUACUAGGCACUGUGCUUGUAAAUCUAGAUAUGUAUUUUUUUCUAUUUAAUCCUAACAAUAACUCCAUGGGAUAUUUUUCUUAUCCCUAUUUUAUCUGUGAAGAAACUAAUGUUUAUAGAGCUG
rnacentral:lncRNA from 1 species